GAUGAACGCUGGCGGCGUGCCUAAUACAUGCAAGUCGAGCGAACGGACGAGAAGCUUGCUUCUCUGAUGUUAGCGGCGGACGGGUGAGUAACACGUGGAUAACCUACCUAUAAGACUGGGAUAACUUCGGGAAACCGGAGCUAAUACCGGAUGAUAUUUUGAACCGCAUGGUUCAAAAGUGAAAGACGGUCUUGCUGUCACUUAUAGAUGGAUCCGCGCUGCAUUAGCUAGUUGGUAAGGUAACGGCUUACCAAGGCAACGAUGCAUAGCCGACCUGAGAGGGUGAUCGGCCACACUGGGACUGAGACACGGUCCAGACUCCUACGGGAGGCAGCUGUAGGGAAUCUUCCGCAAUGGGCGAAAGCCUGACGGAGCAACGCCGCGUGAGUGAUGAAGGUCUUCGGAUCGUAAAACUCUGUUAUUAGGGAAGAACAUAUGUGUAAGUAACUGUGCACAUCUUGACGGUACCUAAUCAGAAAGCCACGGCUAACUACGUG
rnacentral:rRNA from 1 species